rnacentral:rRNA from 1 species
UACGUAGGGGGCAAGCGUUGUCCGGAUUUAUUGGGCGUAAAGAGCGUGUAGGCGGCUAGGUAGGUCCGUUGUGAAAACUCGAGGCUCAACCUCGAGCUGUCGAUGGAAACCAUCUGGCUAGAGUCCGGAAGAGGAGAGUGGAAUUCCUGGUGUAGCGGUGAAAUGCGCAGAUAUCGGGAGGAACACCUGCGGCGAAGGCGGGUUGCUGGGCCGACACUGACGCUGAAGUGCGAAAGCUAGGGGAGCGAACGGG